GAUGAACGCUGGCGGCGUGCCUAAUACAUGCAAGUCGAGCGAACAGACGAGGAGCUUGCUCCUCUGACGUUAGCGGCGGACGGGUGAGUAACACGUGGAUAACCUACCUAUAAGACUGGGAUAACUUCGGGAAACCGGAGCUAAUACCGGAUAAUAUAUUGAACCGCAUGGUUCAAUAGUGAAAGACGGUUUUGCUGUCCCUUAUAGAUGGAUCCGCGCCGCAUUAGCUAGUUGGUAAGGUAACGGCUUACCAAGGCUACGAUGCGUAGCCGACCUGAGAGGGUGAUCGGCCACACUGGAACUGAGACACGGUCCAGACUCCUACGGGAGGCAGCAGUAGGGAAUCUUCCGCAAUGGGCGAAAGCCUGACGGAGCAACGCCGCGUGAGUGAUGAAGGUCUUCGGAUCGUAAAACUCUGUUAUUAGGGAAGAACAAAUGUGUAAGUAACUAUGCACGUCUUGACGGUACCUAAUCAGAAAGCCACGGCUAACUACGUG
rnacentral:rRNA from 1 species